UACGAAGGGGGCUAGCGUUGUUCGGAAUUACUGGGCGUAAAGGGCGUGUAGGUGGCCAACUAAGUCCGACGUGAAAUCCCCGGGCUCAACCUGGGAACUGCAUUUGUGACUGCAUCGCUGGAGUGCGGCAGAGGGGGAUGGAAUUCCGCGUGUAGCAGUGAAAUGCGUAGAUAUGCGGAGGAACACCGAUGGCGAAGGCAAUCCCCUGGGCCUGCACUGACGCUCAUGCACGAAAGCGUGGGGAGCAAACAGG
rnacentral:rRNA from 1 species